rnacentral:rRNA from 1 species
AUGCGGACGGCAUGGGGAAACCCUAGAGGUUUGGUAUUCCACCCCUCGGGGGACAAUGUCUUUGUAGCUGAAUUUGGUUCCUAGGCCGAUCGUGCCAGGGUGAUCGAGGGCUCGCCAUGGAUGGUGGGGAAGCAUGCAGUGUUGCUAAAAGUUUUUGAUCUGAAUACUUUGCCGUCUCAAGUUCAGUUUGAUCACUUGGGGCUUUGGGCUCGUAUUAUGCAUGUUCCUCCGAGGCUUAUGAAGGCAAAAUUGGGAAUGGAAUUUGCCAAGCCGAUUGGGAGGAUUCACAAGGUGGAUUCGGAUGCGGAUGGUCGCUGCUGGGGUAGUUUCAUGAGAGUGAGAGUUGAAAUUGCUGUCCAGGAACCGGUGGUGCAUUAUGUUACGGUGACCUUUCUCAAGCUGAAAAGGACGGAGACGUUCUCAGUUAUGUAUGAGAGACUGCCUUUUUAUUGCUACUCUUGUGGCCUCCUUGGUCACUCCUCGGUUCUGUGCCCAAAUCCAGCGACUAGGGACGAGAAUGGUGACCUACCAUAUGCGGCGAAAAAGCUUUCUGUUGCUGAUGAUCAGUUGAAGAGAUUUGGAGGCUCUAGGUCCAGCUCGGCCUCUUUUUUGGCUGCGGGUGCUGGCUCGUCCGGGACUGUUCGGUCGGGUGACUCUGGUCAUGGUAGGGCUGCUGCUCAAGGCGGCCAUGGUGCCUCUGAAGCCGAGGUUUCCUCUCCCAACAGACGCGGCGGCUCUACUCGUGGUCGGGGGAGGUCCAGCCGCGGUAGAGGAAGAGGUCGCACCAGUGAUCCCGGGCGUGAGCUUUUUCCGUCAGCUCCGAAAAGCAAGCCCAACACAACGGGACAGAAAAGAAAGCCUACCAAAGCUCCUGCCUCCUCUCCGCUCCAAGACCAGGAGGAUGAUAACAUCUUAGCCAUUGUUGUUGUGCCAGGAGAGCCUGUGGGUACUACAGAUGAUGUUCAGAACUCUAAUGUGGAUUCCAACAAGAAGCAACAUGUUUCAAACAACUGA